GACGAACGCUGGCGGCGUGCUUAACACAUGCAAGUCGAACGGAAAGGCGCUGCUUUUGUGGGGUGCCCGAGUGGCGAGCGGGUGAGUGACACGUGAGUAACCUGCCCUUGCCUUUGGGAUAACUUCAGGAAACUGGGGCUACUACCGGAUAGGAGCCCCUCCUGCAUGGAGGGGGUUGGAAAGUUUAGGCGCAGGGGGGUGGAGGCGCGGCUUAUCAGCUUGUUGGUGUGGUAGUGGAUUACCAAGGCGUUGACGGGUCGCCGGCGUGGGAGGGUGACCGGGGACAUUGGGACUGAGAGACGGCGCAGACACUUAUGGGAGGCAGCAGUGGGGAAAAUAGCAGAAUGGGCGGAAGCCUGUGGCAGCAACGCCGCGUGCGGAAUGACGGCCUUUUGGGAGUGAACCGCUUUUGCCGGAGACGAAGCGUGAGUGACGGUAAUGGGUAAAGAAGCAACGGCUAACUACGUG
rnacentral:rRNA from 1 species